rnacentral:rRNA from 1 species
GACGAACGCUGGCGGCGUGCUUAACACAUGCAAGUCGAACGGAAAGGCCCUGCUUUUGUGGGGUGCUCGAGUGGCGAACGGUGAGUAACACGUGAGUAACCUGCCCUUGACUUUGGGAUAACUUCAGGAAACUGGGGCUAAUACCGGAUAGGAGCUCCUGCUGCAUGGUGGGGUUGGAAAGGUUUCGGCGGUUGGGGAUGGACUCGCGGCUUAUCAGCUUGUUGGUGGGUAGUGGCUUACCAAGGCUUUGACGGUAGCCGGCCUGAGAGGGUGACCGGCCACAUUGGGACUGAGAUACGGCCCAGACUCCUAC